rnacentral:rRNA from 1 species
AGUGAACGCUGGCGGUAGGCCUAACACAUGCAAGUCGAACGGCAGCACAGUAAGAGCUUGCUCUUACGGGUGGCGAGUGGCGGACGGGUGAGGAAUACAUCGGAAUCUACUUUUUCGUGGGGGAUAACGUAGGGAAACUUACGCUAAUACCGCAUACGACCUACGGGUGAAAGCAGGGGAUCUUCGGACCUUGCGCGAUUGAAUGAGCCGAUGUCGGAUUAGCUAGUUGGCGGGGUAAAGGCCCACCAAGGCGACGAUCCGUAGCUGGUCUGAGCGGAGGAUCAGCCACAUUGGAAGUGAGGCAGGGGCGCGAGUCCUAAGGGAGGGAGCAGUGGGGAAUAGUGGAAAAUGGGGGGAAGUAUGCUCCAGCGAGAUCGCGUGGGUGAAAAAGGCAUGCGGGUUGUAAAGACGUUUAGGGGGGAAAGAAAAGAAGCAGGUUAAUACCCCGCUGUUCUGACGGUAACCAAAGAAUAAGCACCGGCUAACUUCGUG